UCCUACGGGGCGCAGCAGUGAGGAAUAUUGGUCAAUGGCCGGGAGGCUGAACCAGCCAAGUCGCGUGAGGGAAGACGGCCCUACGGGUUGUAAACCUCUUUUGUCAGGGAGCAAGGUGCAGGUCGGGACCUGCUGUGAGAGUACCUGAAGAAAAAGCAUCGGCUAACUCCGUGCCAGCAGCCGCGGUAAUACGGAGGAUGCGAGCGUUAUCCGGAUUUAUUGGGUUUAAAGGGUGCGCAGGCGGAGGCACAAGUCAGCGGUAAAAUCGCGGGGCUCAACCUCGCUCCGCCGUUGAAACUGGCGUU
rnacentral:rRNA from 1 species